rnacentral:rRNA from 1 species
AUUGAACGCUGGCGGCAGGCCUAACACAUGCAAGUCGAGCGAGCGGCGGACGGGUGAGUAAUGUCUGGGGAACUGCCUGAUGGAGGGGGAUAACUACUGGAAACAGUCGAUAAUACCGCAUACCAUCAGAUGUGCCCAGAGGGGAGUAGCUAGAGGGUGGGGUACCGGCUAACAUGGGCGACGAUCCCUAGCUGGUCUGAGAGGAUGACCAGCCACCCUGGAACUGAGACACGGUCCAGACUCCUACGGUAGGCAGCAGUGGGGAAUAUUGCACAAUGGGCGCAAGCCUGAUGCAGCCAUGCCGCGUGUGUGAAGAAGGUCUUCGGGUUGUAAAGCACUUUCAGCGGGGAGGCGUUACCCGCAGAAGAAGCACCGGCUAACUCCGUGCCAGCAGCCGCGGUAAUUC